UACAGAGGUCCCAAGCGUUGUUCGGAUUCACUGGGCGUAAAGGGUGCGUAGGUGGUGAGGUAAGUCGGAGGUGAAAUCUCCGGGCUCAACCCGGAAAUGGCAUUGGAAACUACCUUGCUUGAGGAUUUGAGGGGGGAUUGGAAUAUUUGGUGUAGCAGUGAAAUGCGUAGAUAUCAAGUGGAACACCAGUGGCGAAGGCGAAUCCCUGGACAGUUACUGACACUGAGGCACGAAGGCCAGGGGAGCAAACGGG
rnacentral:rRNA from 1 species